UGGGGAUUGGUCCUGCUUUGAGCAGGGGGUUGGACUAGAUGACCUCCUGAGGUCCCUUCCAACCCUGAUAUUCUAUGAUUCUAUGACAUCGCUCCUAGAGCUGUCGGUGGAGGCCCCAGUAGUCCUUCCCCUACACUGGGACCUCAUUACACAGGACAGCGGGUGGCUUCUCCACCCUGACCUGCAGUCACUGCACCUGACGGCAUGGAGGCUCUGUGGCUAAAUGCCCUGGAGAGCCAGUGCUCCCUUCCUGUGCAGCAGAUUCUGCUUGGCAGUAGAAAGCCAAGGGAGGCCUAUAUGGCCAAGUGGAAAAGGUUCUCGUGUUGGUGUGAACCCCAACAGGUAUGGCCAUGCCACGCCCCGGUGCAGGCCAUCCUGGAGUACCUCCUGCACCUCAAGCAGCAAGGGCUAGCCCCGUCCUCACUUAGAGUAUACCUGGCAGCCAUCUUCGCCUUCCAUCCGGGGUUCUCGGGGGGCUUGGUGUUUUCCCACCCCAUGAUGGGAUGGUUCUUUAAAGGGUUGGAGAGAGUGUUCCCGUACUCCUGCCCCCCAGUAGAACCUUAACCUGGUCCUCUCUAAACUCAUGGGACGCCCUUUCGAGCCCCUCACUACCUGUUCUCUCCUCCACCUUUCCUGGAAGGUGGCAUUUCUGGUUGCCAUUACCUCGGCCAGAAGGGUGUCCGAACUGAGGGCCCUCACCUCUGAGCCACCAAUUACAGUAUUUCAGAAGGACAAAGUGCAGCUCCGGCCGCACUCCAAGUUCCUCCUUAAGGUGGUCUCCCAAUUCCAUCUGGGCCAGGACAUUUGUUUGCCGGUGUUCUUCCCAAAACCCCAUACGUACCCGAGUCACCGCAGCUUGCACACCUUGGAUGUGCGUCGAGCCCUGGUGUUCUAUUUGGAGCGCAUCAAGCCCUUUCACAAAUCCGCGCAGCUGUUUGUGGCUGUGGCCGACAGGAUGAAAGGCCUCCCGGUGUCGGCACAGCGGAUUUCAUCUUGGAUUACAAGCUGCAUCCAGGCAUGCUAUGAGCUCGCAGGUGUUCCAGCCCCGGCUGUCACGGCCCACUCGACCAGGGAGCAGGCGACUUCCACAGCAUUCCUGUCACAGGUCCUGAUUCAGGAGAUCUGCAGAGCAGCCACCUGGUCCUCGGUGCACACCUUCAUGACCCACUACGUGGUCAACCACCAGGCCAGAGAGGAUGCGGCAGAUGGCAGAGCGGUCCUCUGAGCAGUUGUUCCGUGACUCCUACCCUCCUCAGAGGUAAGCUUGUGAUUCACCUAAUGUGGAAUGGACGUGAACAAGCACUUGAAGAAGAAAAAACAGUUAUUUACUUUCUCGUAACUGUUGUUCUCAGGUGCUGCAUACCUAACCUCACAGUAUCAGGCCCAAAAGAGAACAAUAAGGAGAGAGGGUUGAGAGGAAUGUAGGGAGAGGAUGGAGAUUAAGGGGGAAGUCAGGGCUCAGGGGUUGGCAGAACCAGUGUUAUGGAGUUGUCUGAAGGAUGGGAACCUUGCAGUCAAAGCAAAGCUCCGGUUCCGCAGCAGUGUGAGCUUCCCUACUGGUGUCUCUCCUGUCACCUGGAAGAGGGAUGGACCCCUGAACAGGGUCCAAGGCAAUUGAUGACUUUACAGGGCUCGUUCGUUUUAGAUUCCCGGAGCCCACACAAAUCAAUAGUUUUCCAUUAUCGGGUGCGGCUGGGUCACUGGUCUGUCAAUGAGCUGUGACAAUUGCUGUGCAAGGGUGAACCUGACCAGUCAAUUGCUGCUGACAAGAGGCAAACAUGCUGACAGCUUUGCACUUCGGCUUGCCGCCCAGAGAGGCUCAGAGGAAGGCCUGUUCCCAGAUAUAGGACACACGCCGUGGCGGAGCAGGGCUGGGCCCUGCCCCCGCUCCCUCAGCAGGGCGGUCAGGGCCCUGUGCGCACAGACACAGCCCGGAGACGAAGGCCACCUUCCUGGAUCAGAGCGUGCCUCGCUAGGGCAGGGCCUUCCCCCGCCACCGGCUCCCUUGGCGCGCAGCCGCGCUCCCCACCUGUCCCUGCGGAUUCCCUGCCGGAGCGCGGCCGCGGUGUAACGCCAGCCGCGCCAGCGGAGUGAGGCGCUGGCCUGCCUCUGGGCUCAGCCCCGCUCUUGCCGGUCUCGGGCUUCCGGCGGAAUUCCGCCCUCCGUUUGAUUCGCGCAGAAGCCCAGAGUCACUUGCGUUCCCCUCAUCAAACAGAAAAACUGGCGAUCAGCUUUAUCACUGGGAGCCAACUCGCUGGGUUCAAAAAAAUACACUACGCGCCAGACCGAUCAUUUUCUUUAAACGAGAGCAGAAGGGAGCGGAAUAAACCCUCCGUUACUGGCAAUUAGAAGCACCGGUCUUAUGACUUGCAGCACUUGGUAGCUCGAAACGCGUCCGUUCUCUUGUAGCAUUAAUUAAAAAGAAUGUGUGUGUUUUUAAUAAAAUGCUUCAUGUUUCAGCCUCCUUUCUUCCUCUUACCAAAUGUGAUUAUGGGGGCUGAAGGGAAUUCAGGUUAAUAUGUUGACACACUUAACAAUGCGGGGUCAUGUUGCACAAUACGCUUGACUGGUUUGGUUCAGUACAGCCUCUGACAGGUCCUAAUCAGCCACUGCCCUAAAGGCAGAGGCAAAGAGCGGCUUUUAAUUACUGCUCCAUACACGAGUUUGCCAGCAUUAAAUUGAGACAUAAUUAGGCCUCCGAAUUUUAAUAAUUGUCCUAGCUAAUUGGGCAGACAAGUGCGUUCUGCCGCGUGGCGUGAUUAGAUAAUUAGUAUUUCCGAAAGACAAAAUUGGGCUCUUGAUUACGAAUUCCAGAUGCAAGGGGGAAAGGUAGCGCGCGGAUCUUUACGAGUCUAUUAGGGGAGAGUUUAGCGAUGCUGGUAAUUUGAAGUCCAUUAAGAAGCUAAAUUCCACCUCCGGUGAGCCACUCUGGGCUGAGACGGCCUCUGCCUCCGUGUCUGCGCCGCCGCCGCCUGGCUUAGACUUGGGAGCCCUCUGCCCCAAGGAGUGCGGCUGGGGUCCAACUGAACAUGGGAAGCUGCUUUCUCGGUGCCUGCCAUUGCUGAGGGCGGCCGCCUCCUUUGCCUCCUAGCCCCUCCCGUGUGCACUGCUUCUGCCCUCCAGUGGUCCCGGCCCCCGGGGGCCGGCGCUGGUGUGGCUGCAGCCCAGGCCCCUGGCUGAAGUGCUCUUUGGAAGUAUACAUAUGCUAAUGAGGUGCAGCUCCCCAGUCGGAGAGCCCUGGGUGAGGCUGCUCGCGGCUCCUCUGGCUAGGCCGUUAUUCCCCACUGAUUACUCGCUUAAGAACGUCUUCAGAAAAGGUGUGACAGAGAGCUGGUCACCAAGCAGCUGCCCCUCAGCCCUCCAGGCGCAACCUGACCUCCUUUCUCAGGCCCCCUUGCACCGCAGGGCUGCCAGCCGCACCAUGAAAGGUGCAUUAUGGGGAAGUGGCGGAGGGAAAGAACCCGGCCUGUAGCUCUCAGGCGAGAAGGAGGCGCUGGAGCCAGGCUCUAGCCCAGAUUCGAAUGACUGACUCCCGCUGCGCUGAACCCCUCACACCGGUGUAGGGACUUCGCAACGCAACGCCCAGCCCAGAGAGCCCCCUGCGUAGAGGCCUGCAUUCCAUCUCCUGGGAGGGUCGCUCCAAAGGCCACCCCGCGCCUGGUUCAGAGCGGUCCCUUUGGUUUCUGUGAGGCUUAUUUCAAAUUUUAAAAACUGUCCCUAAAAGGCAGUGGUAGCUCAUUCACUCCUGCCCCUGGCUUUCACAGUGUGGGAUGCCAGCUCCAAUUAAAAGCGUAUUUAUUUUCAAAUGAAACUAUCAUGCUACUGGGAAACAAACAAUAGGAGCAAAAUCUGUGGCCUAAUUCAUUAAAAGCACAAAUUACCAAGGAGUUGCUUGGAAAGGGGAGCCAGUGGAGAGGGCGAGCACAGAACAUGUCAUGGGAGAGAGAGAGCUGUCACACCCGGUUUGGGCGAGCUAGAGGCACGUCAGCAGAUUAAACUCUCCAUUUCGGUGUUCCUUUGCAUGAACCGAGAGAAGACAGCAGAUCUUCCUGACAAGCGGCCAAAGCAGACUGCCCUUUAAAUACAUAUAUAGAAAUCCCUCCCUAUUUAGCAAUAGCACGGUUCCCAUUUUUUAGUGCAUUGUUGCAUUCCCAGAUAAAAUCUAACACCCCUGGAGGAAAGGUGUAAUAUCUGUCACAAAGAUUUCUCUUUUCAGUACACAAUACUUGGGCUUUUCUUUUUUUGAAGAAUUACGUUCAUGACUGAUCACUCAACACCUUGUUGUCUCUGAUUGCAGAAAACCCACCUUAUAAAUAUAUGAUAACCACCCUGUAAUAGGGAGUGUGACAAUUUACUUCACAGUGCAUUUCAGGCUGCUAAUUGAUCGUUUCAGUCCAGGGACUAUGCGGAAUAAAUUAUAGCCAUCAAAAGGAUAUCACAGUUCAUUUUGGUAGAAUGGUUUCCAUGUCACUUCUUGUUCGUCUUUUGCCCAAUAGCUGCAUUAGCCCCAUGUGUUGUUGUUUUGUUAUUACGAGCUGUUUCCAUGUCAGAGAUGCAAAUCUGAGAAUGAACACUAGAGGCCGCUCUAUUUGCAUACUUCUACCAAGAUUAGCCGCUGGGUCUGCCUACACCAGCCAAAGAGUAAGAAGGUUUGACUCAGAAACCUCACAACUAAAAGGCUUUGAAUCAUUUGGAGAAGGCCAGUUGGAUUUACAAGAGAGCACAACAGAAGCACGUCGGCUGAUCCCCUCCACCGCGUGUAAAGACAAGCGAUAAUACUAUCCAGGGGGAGAGUAUCCAGAGAACUGAGCAUCAAACCCAUCUGACUCCACUAUUUCGUCUCGAAAUAGUGACUGUGAUGAGGAGAAAAUGGUGAAGAAGCGAAUGGGUUCAAUUGGGAAACUUACCCAGAGUCCAUGAUGGUGUCUCUGUUAAUGAACUACCCUGGCUGUUGUGUGAGAACCAUUUUGAUUUUAUUACUAGUAGUGAUACUGCUUUUCAACCUUGGGGAUAUCCCUCCUAUAUUGUGGAAAGAAUAUAAGAUGAGCUUCACAGUUUCAUUGUGGUUGCUUUCAUAUGCAGGAAGCUUUUCAGUUUAAGAGAAAAUAUGAAUCUGACUUUCAUAUAACACAAAUAUUGUAAAAGCAGUAUCUGUGUGUCAGCAUUUCCGUGCAUAUUUUAAAGGGCUUCUAAUGUGAGGAAAAACACGCAAUGACAAGUGUGGAAAAGAGCAAGCACUAAAUUACUGUCAGAAAAAUAAACGCAGUAGCGCGCUGCUGCACGGUGAUUUACGGGGGCAAUUAGCCACCACCCCACAGAGCUGCUGAGGACAGCACUGCUGCCUGCAGAAGUGUCAGGCAAAGAGGAAGAGGAGCUUUGGCUUUGCCUUUCCAGACAACUUUUCACACAACAAGAGGGGGAGGGGCGCAGCAUUUGCUGUAGCAGGUCCUCGUUCCGUGUGUACCUAACUCUUCCCGCCUCCCUCCCCCCCAAACUGAAUCCCACACAAAGUGUGUUGAGCACUGCAGUCACCUGCGGCGUGGCCGGGAGAGGGGCGCUCCAGCUGCAAAUCUCUCCUGGUGCCCAGGCAAAGUUGUAUUUUUAAGUCCCCACCCCGCCUCCCUAGCCCGCCAUGGUCUCCCCCCCCCCCAGUGCCUUGCAUCUCCUCACAUCUUGCAGCCAUGGCCAUUGCGUUUAAAAACAACAUUCUCCGUGGAGCUUGGGUUCUUUAGAAAUCUGGAGUAGUCUGCAAAUCUGCUUGUUUAUCAUGGGAACCAAGCUGGCUAGCAGGUGCAGAGGGUGAUUAAAGAGACUGUAAAAUAAAGGUUAAAUGAAAAAUACCCUCAAAGAGCAGAGCUUUCCGCGCCGGCUCGCGGAAGGGUUCUGGCCGAAAGCGGGGCCGAGCGCGCUGCUGGCCGGGAGACAGCUGCCAAUCAUAUCCGGGGGCCGCCCCGGGCGUCUCGCGCUCUCUCAGGUCAGCGCCAGGGCGUGCGCCCAGAGAGGCCCAGGCCGCCGCUGGCUGCUGGGGCCUCCGAGAAGUGCCCGGUCUGCGGGGGGCGGUGAGGGGAAGUCAUCAGUUCGAACCCACCUCCCACAAGGCGCGGGCUGGGGCCGGGGCCGGGGCCGGGCCGGCGGGCUGAGCCGCCUCCACUCCGCUCAGGGAGCGCCGGGCGCCCGUGGGGAACGGCGGGGCGGGGGGGCUCCCCACCUGGCAAAGGGCUGCGCUGCCCAAUAGCCAGAUUCAAAACCCACCAGGCCACUCUUCAGCCUGAAACGGCCCAAGCCCGAGUCCCUGGUGGUGGCAGGGCCACCCCCUGUAUGGAAAAUCCCCUAGGGCCGGGGCCGGUGCUUCCCUCUUGGGAUCUCUGUUUGAUCUCCAUAGAGGCUACAGUGACACCUGCCCCCCACAAUCACGUAAGUGUGUGGCGUUAUUUUUGAGGGAAAGGGGCAGAUCUCUUACCUUGUGCCACUUUAGAUCUAUCGAUCGAUCGAUCUAAUGUGUGAUUGGUGUAUGUAUAUAAAGAUACAAUUCUACUUGGAUGUGGGAAUUUAAAAUGUCAUUGGCUAAUAUUGGUCCCAUGAUGUUCGGAAGACCUCCCAGCCUAGGGGACAGUUGUGUAUGUCUAACAUCAUUACUGACUGCCCAGGUGGGUAUCUUCCCCCACACUGGCGGCCCUGGUGUGUGGCUCAUCCGAGUGGCUAGCACCCCCAUGAGGGGAAAUAGCCAGAGCUAGGUCCUUCCACCAGCUGGUGCCAGCCAACCUUUCAGAGGAGUCACUGCCAGUCGCAAGAGGAGAGAGCCAGGGCCUGCUCAUCAAAUAACCCAGCAACAGUCUCAUUGCUGUAGUGGAGGGAUCAAGGGAAAAGUAGCAGAUCACCUUCCUCUUCCCAACACUGUACCCAGGAGGGAAGGAGGCAGCAGGAUUCAGACCUGGGAAUGAGUAGAACCUGUGUUCUGUGCUCAGCUCUGCCACUGACUUACUGUAUCAUCAGGCAAGGCAGGGUGGCUCUGUGCCUCUGUUUCCCCAUCUGUAACACAAGUAUAAUGAAACUUUCCUGCUUUUGUGAAGCAUUUGAGAUCUAUGGAUAGAGCCUGAUACAUACAUACAUAGUGGUGGUAUUUAUUAUGAGGCCUGCUCCUGAUUGACCUUACUACUGUCCCAUAAGACUGCACAUUGCAAAUACAAGGCAGUGCUGGGUUUUCUCCCUUCACCACAACAGGUGUUCUGUACUAGCCAAGUUCUUAUACUGCCCUCAUCACCACAGAAUCUGUGUACCCUCUAGCAGUAACUUAAGUAGUGUGACUAACAGCUGUCACAUGUGGUUGGACUGUUCUCCCUUUCCCACCCCAAAUGGAAAGUUAUGAGAGAUUUAUUUGUUUAAUCUAUUUUGUUUCUACCUGCGGUACUGUUUGUUUUUAUUACUGUGGGCAAGGCGCACUUCACACUUUGAAUGGGAAAUGGUGCUGGUAGAGGUGGAAUGCAUUUCUAAGGAGUGGGUUGAUUCCCUGAGAAAGCUCUGACUCCUGCACAGAUGUGCUUCACUCCUGGGAUGGACAGCUCCAUUGUGCCUGAGGAGCAGCGUUUGUCCACCAUAGUUCUCAUUCCAGAACCUCAGGUGAGCUUUGAGGUGUCCUGGGUCCAGAUCAGUGCGUGCCUUGAAGCUAAAGACAAAGUUCUUGACUUUGAUGUGGUGUUCAGUGAGAAGCCAGAAGAGAGAGCAGAAGGCAGGCCUGAUGUGAUCAUGUUAGUCUCGUAAGGAAGUGACAAGUCAGCAAAUUUGUAUAUAAAAUGUUUGGCUUAAGAAAUAUAUAACAAUCUCACAAAAGCUCAUGCUUUUAGUGAAUGUAGUCUGGGGUGAGAGAUAACCCAUGGCAGGUGGUUAUCACACAUUUUAUGGUGUGAGGACCCUUAAAACUUACUCACAUGGGUAAUUCUAAGAGUAGUCCAAAUCACUUCAAAGGAUUAUGUAUGUGAGUAAAGGUUGCAUGAUUAUGUCCUAUAUAGGUAUGUACAUACAUACUGUGUGGAGAUAUAUAAACCAUACACUACUCAGUUAUCCAUCCAUUAUUUUAGUUACAGCUCUGGUUUUGAGAUUAAGGUUUAUAAUCUUUAUAAUACACACAUGAAAAGUUUUGUGUUCAUACUUUACAGGAGGGUCAUUAAAUAAUCUGUAUUACUAAUCAAAUUAGUUGCAAUGCCCUAUAUAGUAACCGGUUACCCAUUAUUUUUGCCCUGUUUUAAAUUCUGUAAUAAGCAAACAGCAAUGUUUUACAUCUAAUAGUAGAAAAAUGUUUGUUUUAUUUUGGGGGAGGGGGAAAGAAGCCCCCCAGUGAAAACGGGUUGAGACACAUUUAUUAUCAUAUAGACUAGUGAAGGGAAUUAUUGGUCUGUCAAGAAAUGAGCAUUUUGCUUGGUGCUGGAUUGUAGCCAGAUUCAGUCCUAGCUAUUACUAUAUUAAUCUGGUAGUUGGUGAUUCUACAAGGCGGUUUCUGAGGAGAUUUGGGUAAUGUAAGUUCAGGCCUUCUAAACCUUAUAGUCUUAUAGAGCUUUGGGGUGUGGAAAACUGUUCUAAUUUUAAAGGUCAGCAUUUUACUUUGUGAGUCAUGCUUCUGUUAUCCAAACACUUUUUGUAUGUGGCAAAUAAACAAACAAAAACACAAACUACCACCAUCUGGGAAAAAUCCUCCGAAGUAAAAAUUUCCAAUAGAAUUUCAUAAAAUGCACAUGUGAAUUACAUAGGAAGAAGUUAUUUUUGGCACAAAAAUAUUUUGUUUUGUUUUUCAAUCUAACAAAGAGUUUUUAUUUAUAUGAAGAGAUGUAAGAUGGCCCAAACUGUUUGAAUCACACGCAGAAAACAUUCCAUAGUGACAGUUACUUGAACUGGUUAUUUUGCUGGGGGUUGGUGGAAAGACUUUUAUUUAAACCAAUUUAAAAGAGUGAAGAUUGGUAGCUGGAGAAUACACUCUGCAUUACUCUCGUACUGCAGCUGGACUGGCGAUAGCCAAGGUUUAUUUAUUUAUUUUUUUUCUGCACAGAGGGGAGGAAAAUAUAUCGGUCCAUGAAUCAAUCUAGAUAAUGGGGAAGGCUGAAUGUAAUAAAUAAUACAGUAACAACCCUAAACUAAUGAGCUGUUGCUAAGGUACAUUUCACAGGCUCAUCCUCGAUAUAAAAAGUCACUAAUAAUCCCUUGGCGUAAUCAGAUGAUAAAGCUUUGCCAUAAGGCAACACCUGUGCAAUUAAAGCUGCAGAUUCUUUUGCACGUUUCAUUAAUUUCAGGAUUUUGUAAAGGCACAAUGACUACACUAAUAAUCUAGUCUACUUGACUCCAUGUCUACUGGAAACAGGGUGUCUAAUUAGGUAAAGGUAAUUAAUUAGAGAUAAAUGGAGCUAAUCAGACUCAGUUAACACUAAUUCUCUGAAUUGAGACAUUUUGGGACACCUAUUAUUCCAUUGGCUUUGAUAUUUCCCAACCAACAAUGAAUUGGAGGGUAGUCAGAAAACACUACAUUUUUCUGCUGCAUGCUAUAGACCCAAUCCUGCAAACGUUUACUGGCACAAAUAGCCUCAGUGCGGCCAAUGGGCCUGUACUCCCCUGAGUAGUCCUUAUUCACGUGAAGGGCUUUGCAGGAUCAGGCCCUUUUUUCGAUUUUGGAGCUUUAGGGCUUGAUGUACUGGAAACAUUGAUUUCAGUGGGUGUCAGAUUGAGUCCUUACACUUUCCCUAAAAAGUCCUGUCUGGGCAAAGUGAUUUUUGAUGUUGGAAGAUCUUCUAAGUUAUAUUUCAUUUGAUGCCUUUCUUUUAGGUGCUCCAGCCUAUGCUGGUAUUUCACACAGCUGUAAUGUCAUUCCUUGUAGAUUUUGUUUUGAGACAAACCCACAAAAGUGAGGAAAUUCCCAAGUAACUAUUAAGGCCAAUAUUUUUAAACCUGGGUCCCUACAGUUAAUGUCCUAUGUAAAAGUGACCUGAGUUUCAGCGGCACUGUGCACUUGUAGCUCCCAUUGAGAUCCGUGGGUCCACUUUAAUAUUAAAGGGUCAAAUCCUGCUUGAGUGACUCACAUAAGUAGCCCCAUUAAAUGCAGUGGCCUGCAUCCUUUGCUCUCGAUAAGACUACUCACAUGCAUGAUGUAAACAGGAUUAGCCUGAAGACGCAAGGGGCCUAAGUGUUGGAGGCUGGCUGCCUUCCCUAUGAGAUUUCUUUGGCUUGUUGGCUUUGUCUCACAAUAUUUUAUGGACAUUUUUGUAUGAACAUUUCUGUAUUAUAUUUGGUUUUGGACUAUUAUUAUGUAGUAAUAUAAUAAUUAGGGCUAAUAAUUAACUCACGAUUAACUAAAAAAAAAUUAAUCGUGAUGAAUCGCAGUUUUAAUCACACUGUUAAACAAUAGACUACCGAUGGAAAAUUAUUAAAUCUUUUGGAUGU